ACUUUUAAUUCUUGCUAUGUACGUCCACGGCCAAGUGGCAGAGGGAAUAAGAGGAUAUCCGAGCUGUGUUGAUAUGUGUGAGGUUUCUGUCUGCUCUGGAACGCGAGGUUGUGGAGGAAUGAGAGGCAGAGCUUCUGGAGAGGGAACAGUGGCUGGACAUCUGACCGCUGCACAGGAGUAGAUCCAGGUGCUGAAACCCAUAAGAACCAUCCAGGAUGAGACACCAAUCCCGGCGAUGAAAGCUGGCUGACGGACCACCCCUGUGAUCUGCUCGGAUAGGCUGACAGUGUCAUCCUUCACCGCUGAC